UCUGCAAUGCUGACUAAAUGCAAAGCAUGCAUUCCCGACCUGCAACAUUAAACUUAUGGCUCUUGAGACAUUCUCUUAUACUCAUAACAAAACAAUCAUCUCUAGAUUUUUUAUUCGUAUUGUAUUGUCUAUUUAAUGUUUGUAUUUGAGGAUGUGCUCUGGUUCUCUCUCAGCUAAGCCAGAUGCUCGAUGGCGAACUCCCCUCUCUGGACUGUGUUGAGGUCGAGCCUCAGAGAGAGGCCCUCCAGGGCAUACUGGAUGUCCUGUCUGACAAUGGACUGGAGACCGAGGACCCCAACAGUCCUCUUGGUGCUUUUCACCUCGUUACCAGUGCCCUGGCUGAAAUGCCGGAUGACGGCCUUGCUGUCCUGGUGUCGAGCUGCACUCCCCCAGAUCCCAAGAUGCUGAGAUCCCUGGAGCUGCUGGUAUGUAUUACAUUGCUCUGGUGAAUAUUAUGAAGUAACACAAUGUAUAAUCAUGCCAUCAGG
rnacentral:lncRNA from 1 species